rnacentral:lncRNA from 1 species
UUCAUUUUUCUUUCUUACUUUCAUCAUUUUCUUUUUCUUUCCUGAUUUUUUUGAUGGUAAAGGAGGAUUGGAUUGAUUGUUCUCAGAACAGGGAGAAUUGAUGCAAAGAUCACUGGCAUCCUUAUUGAAGUGGCUGUCGCAUGAAUUCUUUGGAGAUCUCUGGAGGAAAGAGAAAGAAACUGAAACGGAAUGAAUUAAUCAAGCCAGACCUAUCACUACUUCCUCAGGAGACCCUCUUGAUCUGAUUAAGGAGUUCAUCAGCACUGGAGAAAACAAUAAGCUCUGCCUGUUUCUCACUUAGCUUUCAACACAUAUCUGAAAAUGUCCCAGAAAACUAAUUGUCCAAGUUAAUCAUCGUGGAAAGU